rnacentral:rRNA from 1 species
AACGAACGCUGGCGGCGUGCCUAACACAUGCAAGUCGAGCGCGAAAGUCCCUUCGGGGGCAAGUAGAGCGGCGGACGGGUGAGUAAUACGUGGAUAAUCUUCCCUCGAGCUUGGGAUAACCCCGCGAAAGUGGGGCUAAUACCGGAUAAGACCACGCGACUUAAGUUACGUGGUAGAAGGUGGCUUGUAUUUAUACUGGCUAUCACUUGAGGAUGAGCCUAUGGCCUAUCAGCUUGUUGGCGGGGUAAAAGCCCACCAAGGCUAUGACGGGUAGUUGGUCUGAGAGGACGACCAACCACACUGGGACUGAGACACGGCCCAGACUCCUACGGGUGGCAG